UUCGAAGCAACGCGAAGAACCUUACCAGGGCUUGACAUGCCGCUGACCGGUGCAGAGAUGCAUCUUUAUCCUUCGGGGUACAGCGGACACAGGUGGUGCAUGGUUGUCGUCAGCUCGUGUCGUGAGAUGUUGGGUUAAGUCCCGCAACGAGCGCAACCCUUGUCUUUAGUUGCCAUCAUUAAGUUGGGCACUCUAAAGAGACUGCCGAUGACAAAUCGGAGGAAGGUGGGGAUGACGUCAAAUCAUCAUGCCCUUUAUGUCCUGGGCUACACACGUGCUACAAUGGUCGGUACAACGAGAAGCAAGUCAGCGAUGGCAAGCAAAUCUCUAAAAGCCGAUCCCAGUUCGGAUUGCAGGCUGCAACUCGCCUGCAUGAAGUCGGAGUUGCUAGUAAUCGCGGAUCAGAAUGCCGCGGUGAAUGCGUUCCCGGGCCUU
rnacentral:rRNA from 2 species